rnacentral:rRNA from 1 species
GAUGAACGCUGGCGGCGUGCCUAAUACAUGCAAGUCGAGCGAACGGACGAGAAGCUUGCUUCUCUGAUGUUAGCGGCGGACGGGUGAGUAACACGUGGAUAACCUACCUAUAAGACUGGGAUAACUUCGGGACACCGGAGCUAAUACCGGAUAAUAUUUUGAACCGCAUGGUUCAAAAGUGAAAGACGGUCUUGCUGUCACUUAUAGAUGGAUACGCGCUGCAUUAGCUAGUUGGUAAGGUAACGGCUUACCAAGGCAACGAUGCAUAACCGACCUGAGAGGGUGAUCGGCCACCCUGGAACUGAGACACGGUCCAGACUCCUACGGGAGGCAGCAGUAGGGAAUCUUACGCAAUGGGCGAAAGCCUGACGGAGCAACGCCGCGUGAGUGAUGAAGGUCUUCGGAUCGUAAAACUCUGUUAUUAGGGAAGAACAUAUGUGUAAGUAGCUGUGCACAUCUUGACGGUACCUAAUCAGAAAGCCACGGCUAACUACGUG